rnacentral:rRNA from 1 species
GAUCAACGCUGGCGGCGUGCCUAAUGCAUGCAAGUCGAACGGGGCGCCUUCGGGCGCUCACGUGGCGGACGGGUGCGUAACACGUGGGCAAUCUGCCCCGGGGCGGGGGAUAGCCAUCGGAAACGGUCGGUAAUUCCGCGUACGCUCGGUUGCCUGUGGGGCGACCGAGGAAAGGCGCAAGCCACCCUGGGAGGAGCCUGCGGCCGAUUAGCUGGUUGGUGGGGUAACGGCCUACCAAGGAGAUGAUCGGUAGCUGGUCUGAGAGGACGGCCAGCCACGCGGGGACUGAGCGACGGCCCCGACUCAUACGGGAGGCAGCAGUGGGGAAUAUUGCACAAGGGGCGCAAGCCUGAUGCAGCGACGCCGCGUGAGGGAUGAGGGCCUUCGGGUUGUAAACCUCUUUCAGCACCGACGAAGCGCAAGUGACGGUAGGUGCAGAAGAAGGACCGGCCAACUACGUGCCAGCCGCCGCCGUAA